GUGCUCGCUUCGGCAGCACAUAUACCAGAGUUUGAACAAUACAGAGAAGAUUAACAUGGUCCCUGCACAAGGAUGAUGCACAGGUCUGUGAAGGGUUCCUUUUUUUU